rnacentral:rRNA from 1 species
CACGUAGGGGGGCAAGCGUUUGUCCGGAUUCAUUGGGCGUAAAGAGCUCGUAGGCGGCUCAGUAAGUCGGGUGUGAAACCCUCAGGCUCAACCUGGGGACGCCACUCGAUACUGCUGUGGCUAGAGUCCAGUAGAGGAGUGUGGAAUUCCCGGUGUAGCGGUGAAAUGCGCAGAUAUCGGGAGGAACACCAACGGCGAAGGCAGCACUCUGGGCUGGAACUGACGCUGAGGAGCGAAAGCGUGGGUAGCAAACAGG